rnacentral:rRNA from 1 species
GGCUGGACAGAAAAGGUACUUUCAAUGCAAGGAAAAGAAAUAUUGCUGAAGGCGGUGGCUCAAGCAAUCCCCUCUUAUGCUAUGUCAGUAUUUAAACUUCCCAAGACCAUAUGCAAGGCAAUAACAUAUGAGAUUGCAGGGUUUUGGUGGGGGGAUAGCGAGGAGAAGAAGAAGAUGCAUUGGUUUGCAUGGUGGAAAUUAUGCAUCCCGAAGAGUAAAGGUGGCUUGGGGUUUAGAGACCUUCACAGUUUUAAUCUUGCUUUACUAGCAAAACAGUGUUGGCGUUUACUCCAGAAUCCUGAAUCUUUGUGUGCAAAAGUUCUAAGUGCAAAAUACUAUCCGGACGGAAAUAUUCUCAUGGCUGGCCCUAAGAAAGGUUCUUCGUUUACUUGGCAAAGUAUUGUUUUGGGCAUACAAACUUUUAAGAGCGGAUGUAUUUGGCAUGUGGGUACGGGUUCCUUCUAG